UCCAACAGCAGCACCUCCAACAGCAGCUGCAGCCUCCAACAGCAGCACCUCCAACAGCAGCACCUCCAACAGCACCACCUCCAACAGCAGCACCACCUCCAACAGCACCACCUCCAACAGCAGCACCACCUCCAACAGCAGCACCUCCAACAGCACCACCUCCAACAGCACCACCUCCAACAGCAGCACCUCCAACAGCAGCACCACCUCCAACAGCAGCACCUCCAACAGCAGCACCUCCAACAGCAGCUGCAGCCUCCAACAGCACCACCUCCAACAGCAGCACCACCUCCAACAGCAGCACCUCCAACAGCAGCUGCAGCCUCCAACAGCAGCACCUCCAACAGCAGCUGCAGCCUCCAACAGCAGCACCUCCAACAGCAGCUGCAGCCUCCAACAGCAGCACCUCCAACAGCACCACCUCCAACAGCAGCACCUCCAACAGCAGCACCUCAAACAGCAGCACCUCCAACAGCAGCUGCAGCCUCCAACAGCAGCACCACCUCCAACAGCAGCAGCACCUCCAACAGCAGCUGCAGCCUCCAACAGCAGCACCUCCAACAGCAGCUGCAGCCUCCAACAGCAGCAGCACCUCCAACAGCAGCUGCAGCCUCCAACAGCAGCACCACCUCCAACAGCAGCUGCAGCCUCCAGGUGAGCUUCGCCUGCUUUCUGGCCUCAUGCUUGGAUGUGUUUGUUUCUCUCCUCCUCUCUGAUGGCUCUCAGCCUCUUCAUCAUCUCCUUGGUGGAGCAGCCUCCUCCAGUCCUCUGAACCAUCAGGUGGAUCUUCCUCAGCAGCUCUCCGACACACAUACAGACACACAGACCCACACACACAGACCCACACACACAGCCACACACAGACCCACACACAGACACACACACAGACAGACACACACAGAGACAAACACACACAGACCCACACACACACACAGAGACACACACAGACACACACACAGACCCACACACAGACAGACACACACAGAGACAAACACACACACACAGACACACACAGACACACACACAGACAGACACACACAGACACACACACAGACAGACACACACAGAGACAAACACACACAGACCCACACACACAGACACACACAGACCCACACACUGACACACACACAGACAGACACACAGACAGAACCACACAGACACACACAGACCCACACACACAGACACACACACACAGACCCACACACAGACAGACCCACACAGACACACACACAGAGACAAACACACACAGACCCACACACACACACAGAGACACACACAGACACACACACAGACCCACACACAGACAGACACACACAGAGACAAACACACACACACAGACACACACAGACACACACACAGACAGACACACACAGACACACACACAGAGACAAACACACACAGACCCACACACAGAGACACACACAGACCCACACACAGACACACACAGACCCACACACAGACAGACACAGAGACACACAGACCCACACACAGACAGACACACAGACAGACACACACACACAGACCCACACACAGACACACACACAGACAGACCCACACAGACACACACACACACACACACAGACAGACCCACACAGACACACACAGACCCACACACAGACACACACACAGACACACACACAGACAGACCCACACAGACACACACAGACCCACACACAGAGACACACACAGACACCCACACAGACACACACAGACAGACACAGAGACACACAGACCCACACACACACACACACAGACAGACACACACACACAGACCCACAAACACAGACAGACACACAGACCCACACACACAGACACACACACACACACACACAGACACACACACAGACCCACACACACACACAGACACACACACAGACACACACACACACACACAGACACACACACACAGACACACACACACACAGACACACACACAGACACACACACACACACACACACACACACACACAGACAGACACACACACACACAGACACACACACAGACCCACACACACACACACAGACACACACACACAGACACACACACACACACAGACACACACACAGACACACACACAGACCCACACACAGACACACACACACAGACAGACACACACACACACAGACACACACACAGACCCACACACACACACACAGACACACACACUCACACAGACACACACACACAGACACAGAGACACACAGACCCACACACACACAGACAGACACACACACACAGACCCACACACAGACAGACACACACACACAGACCCACACACAGACACACACACAGACAGACCCACACAGACACACACAGAGACAAACACACACAGACCCACACACAGAGACACACACAGACACCCACACAGACACACACAGACAGACACACACACAGACCCACACACACACACAGACACACACACAGACACACACACAGACCCACACACAGACCCACACACACACACACAGACACACACACACACACAGACACACAGACACACACACACAGACACACACACACAGACAGACACACACACACACAGACACACACACAGACCCACACACACAGACACACACACACACACAGACACACUCACACAGACACACACACAGACAGACACACAGACACAUACACACACACAGACACACACACACAGACAGACACCGACACACACACACACACACACACACACACACACACACACGUUUAAUGGAGGUUGUUUCAGUGUUUGGUUCCGGUCCAGCCCUCUGUGUGUAAAACAGCCCCCCCCCCCCGUGAUGACGGAGGAGUCACGUGGGGCUGCUGUCCACAACAAACGUUGUAGAAACAGUUCUAACAGAACCACCCAGACGGACAAGUAA
ensembl:lncRNA